UACGUAGCAGCGAGCGUUGUUCGGAAUUACUGGGCGUAAAGCGUGCGCAGGCGGUUAUGCAAGACAGAGGUGAAAUCCCCGGGCUCAACCUGGGAACUGCCUUUGUGACUGCAUAGCUAGAGUACGGUAGAGGGGGAUGGAAUUCCGCGUGUAGCAGUGAAAUGCGUAGAGAUCAUGAGGAAGACCAGUGGCGAAGGCGGGUCUCUGGACAGUUCCUGACACUGAGGCAACGAAGGCCAGGGGAGCAAACGGG
rnacentral:rRNA from 1 species